rnacentral:rRNA from 1 species
GACGAACGCUGGCGGCGUGCUUAACACAUGCAAGUCGAACGAAAAGACGGAAAGAGCUUGCUCUUUCCGGAAUUGAGUGGCAAACGGGUGAGUAACACGUAAACAACCUGCCUUCAGGAUGGGGACAACAGACGGAAACGACUGCUAAUACCGAAUAAGUUCCAAGAGCCGCAUGGCCCAUGGAAGAAAAGGUGGCCUCUACCUGUAAGCUAUCGCCUGAAGAGGGGUUUGCGUCUGAUUAGCUGGUUGGAGGGGUAACGGCCCACCAAGGCGACGAUCAGUAGCCGGUCUGAGAGGAUGAACGGCCACACUGGAACUGAGACACGGUCCAGACUCCUACGGGAGGCAGCAGUGGGGAAUCUUCCGCAAUGGGCGAAAGCCUGACGGAGCAACGCCGCGUGAGUGAUGACGGCCUUCGGGUUGUAAAACUCUGUGAUCCGGGACGAAAAGGCAGAGUGCGAAGAACAAACUGCAUUGACGGUACCGGAAAAGCAAGCCACGGCUAACUACGUGCCAGCAGCCGCGGUAAUACGUAGGGUGCAAGCGUUAUCCGGAAUUAUUGGGCGUAAAGGGCUCGUAGGCGGUUCGUCGCGUCCGGUGUGAAAGUCCAUCGCUUAACGGUGGAUCCGCGCCGGGUACGGGCGGGCUUGAGUGCGGUAGGGGAGACUGGAAUUCCCGGUGUAACGGUGGAAUGUGUAGAUAUCGGGAAGAACACCAGUGGCGAAGGCAGGUCUCCGGGCCGUCACUGACGCUGAGGAGCGAAAGCGUGGGGAGCGAACAGGAUUAGAUACCCUGGUAGUCCACGCCGUAAACGGUGGAUGCUGGAUGUGGGGACCAUUCCACGGUCUCCGUGUCGGAGCCAACGCGUUAAGCAUCCCGCCUGGGGAGUACGGCCGCAAGGCUAAAACUCAAAGAAAUUGACGGGGGCCCGCACAAGCGGCGGGGCAUGCGGAUUAAUUCGAUGCAACGCGAAGAACCUUACCUGGGCUUGACAUGUUCCCGACAGCCCCAGAGAUGGGGCCUCCCUUCGGGGCGGGUUCACAGGUGGUGCAUGGUCGUCGUCAGCUCGUGUCGUGAGAUGUUGGGUUAAGUCCCGCAACGAGCGCAACCCUCGCCCUGUGUUGCCAGCACGUCGUGGUGGGAACUCACGGGGGACCGCCGGGGUCAACUCGGAGGAAGGUGGGGAUGACGUCAGAUCAUCAUGCCCCUUACGUCCAGGGCUUCACGCAUGCUACAAUGGCCGGUACAACGGGAUGCGACACUGUGAGGUGGAGCGGAUCCCUUAAAACCGGUCUCAGUUCGGAUUGGAGUCUGCAACCCGACUCCAUGAAGGCGGAGUCGCUAGUAAUCGCGGAUCAGCAACGCCGCGGUGAAUGCGUUCCCGGGCCU